rnacentral:rRNA from 1 species
AAUAGAUACCCGGGUAGUCCACGCCGUAAACGAUGGAUACUAGCUGUUGGAGGUAUCGACCCCUUCAGUAGCGAAGCUAACGCGUUAAGUAUCCCGCCUGUGGAGUACGGUCGCAAGACUAAAACAUAAAGGAAUUGACGGGGACCCGCACAAGCGGUGGAUCAUGUUCUUUAAUUCGAUGCUAAACGAAGAACCUUACCAGGGCUUGACAUCCCGAGAAUUACUCCGAAAGGAGUGAGUGCUUUAUUGAAUUCGGUGACAGAUGAUGCAUGGCCGUCGUCAGCUCGUGUCGUGAGAUGUUUGGUUAAGUCCAUCAACGAGCGCAACCCUUGUGAUUAGUUGUAUUUUUCUAAUCAUACUGCCCCGGAAACGGGGAGGAAGGAGGGGAUGAGGUCAGGUCAGUAUUUCUCUUACGUCCUGGGCUAGAAACGUGAUACAAUGGCAGGUACAAUGCGCUGCGAAGCCGCGAGGUGAAGCAAAUCGCACCAAAGCCUGUCCCAGUUCGGAUUGGAGGCUGAAACUCGCCUCCAUGAAGUCGGAA